GACCGUGACUGCAAAAGCGAAAGUUGGCGGCUCGGCUGAGAAACGAAACUUGUCUGGGCGGGAGUCGGCGGAGCGGCGGGACGAGCGGGCGCUGCAGGUGCUGGUGCCCGUGCCCGGUCACUCGAGAGAAGAGAGGUGCAGGUCCCUGCAGUCCCUGAUGCAGAGGAAGAGGUGAAGGGAGAAGGUGCUGCUGGACCUCUUCUACCGCUGACACAAAGGAGACAGAGGGCAAGUCACUGAUGGACAGAGCAAGAGCUCUGCUCAGCACCACGCCUGACACUGCAGGUGGAUCUCCCAGCUCUGCUGAGACACAGAAGGAGGAAGAGGGAUCAUCACUGCUGGGGAAUGUCACAGCUCCAGAGAACCACACAGAGCCCCCGGCUCAGCGCGGGGCUGGCGACUCUGCUGAGGUGGCAUCUCUGCUGAGGAAGAAUGGGAAGAAGACUAAAGCAAAGAAGUCCAUUUCUGGGGAACAGGACUCUCUGCCUCCUCAAAGCACAGCACCAGCUCAAACCACAGAGCUGCCCGACACAGGUGUUGCUCCUCCAGAAAUCCAACCCCCCGGCGGUGAGGGAGCAAACCCAGGUGCUGAUGGAUGUGCUGAUGCCAGUGGAGACACACCUGGAGGCGACAGGGAUUUGGCACACCUGGGGGAGGAAGCUGGCAGCCUGGGAGCAGAGAGGCUGAGCCCUGCAGAGCAGAGCAGCACAGCCGGGGGGGCUGCCCCAGCUCCCAGUGCCACAGCCCCAGGGGACAAGGUGGGGGAUGGCACAGCCCCGGAGCACGGAGGAACAGCCAGGGAUGAUGUGGAACAGGGCAGUGGUGCCCCUGGCCAGCUGCCAGCAGCCACAGCUGGUCCCCAGGCCCAGAGCAGCAGCAAGGAGCGGCUGUCAGCAGGACAGGGAGCCAGUCCCUCUGCCAAGGAAGCAGUCCCUGGCAGUCCCGGGCUGCCUCCUGCCAGGGGAGCCCCCCAAAGCAAGCCUGAGACCAAGGCCUCCCCUGGGGCUCCGAGCCUGCCGGCUGGGAAGGAGCCCAAGCAGAAAGGGACCAGUUCCACUGCCAAGGUGAGUGUGGGUGAGCUCUGGUGAGUGUUCAGUGGGCACAGCUUCCCUUUGCCAGUGUGACUUACUCAUGCUGUCA
rnacentral:lncRNA from 14 species